CCGCACGUAGCUCAGUAGGACAGAGCGUCGGUUUCCGGGGCCGAAGGUCGAAGGUUCGAAUCCUUCUGUGCGGG
rnacentral:tRNA from 1 species